CUACGGGGGGCAGCAGUGGGGAAUAUUGCACAAUGGGCGAAAGCCUGAUGCAGCAACGCCGCGUGAGGGACGACGGCCUUCGGGUUGUAAACCUCUUUUAGCAGGGAAGAGGCGAAAGUGACGGUACCUGCAGAAAAAGCACCGGCUAACUACGUGCCAGCAGCCGCGGUAAUACGUAGGGUGCAAGCGUUGUCCGGAAUUAUUGGGCGUAAAGAGCUCGUAGGCGGUUUGUCGCGUCUGCUGUGAAAAUCCGAGGCUCAACCUCGGACCUGCAGUGGGUACGGGCAAACUAGAGUGCGGUAGGGGAGAUUGGAAUUCCUGGUGUAGCGGUGGAAUGCGCAGAUAUCAGGAGGAACACCAAUGGCGAAGGCAGAUCUCUGGGCCGUAACUGACGCUGAGGAGCGAAAGCGUGGGGAGCGAACAGGAUUAGAUACCCCUGUAGUC
rnacentral:rRNA from 1 species